AUUGAACGCUGGCGGCAUGCCUUACACAUGCAAGUCGAACGGUAACAGGUUAAGCUGACGAGUGGCGAACGGGUGAGUAAUAUAUCGGAACGUGCCCAGUCGUGGGGGAUAACUGCUCGAAAGAGCAGCUAAUACCGCAUACGACCUGAGGGUGAAAGCGGGGGAUCGCAAGACCUCGCGCGAUUGGAGCGGCCGAUAUCAGAUUAGGUAGUUGGUGGGGUAAGAGCCCAACAAGCCAACGAUCUGUAGCUGGUCUGAGAGGACGACCAGCCACACUGGGACUGAGACACGGCCCAGACUCCUACGGGAGGCAGCAGUGGGGAAUUUUGGACAAUGGGCGCAAGCCUGAUCCAGCCAUGCCGCGUGCGGGAAGAAGGCCUUCGGGUUGUAAACCGCUUUUGUCAGGGAAGAAAAGGUUCUGGUUAAUACCUGGGACUCAUGACGGUACCUGAAGAAUAAGCACCGGCUAACUACGUGCCAGCCGCCGCCGUAAAAC
rnacentral:rRNA from 1 species